AUGCAACACUCAAGAGGGAAGUCUGCACUUGUUUUCUGUUCUACAAGAAAAGGUGCACAAGAAGCAGCACAGUGCCUCUCACAAACUGCGGGGUCUCUUGGCUAUUCAAAUCCAUUCAUGAAAUCUAUGCAGCAGUAUGAACAUCUACGAGAGGCUUCCUUAACCUGUAGUGACAAGCAGCUGCAGUCUUGUAUCGUACAUGGAGGUCAUGUUGAAUCUUGUUCUCUGGGCACCCAUGACCUUCCUAAUUUUUUUAUCUGGACACUCACUUGGUUUCCAUAA
rnacentral:rRNA from 1 species